rnacentral:rRNA from 1 species
UACAGAGGUCUCAAGCGUUGUUCGGAUUCAUUGGGCGUAAAGGGUGCGUAGGCGGCGCGGUAAGUCGGGUGUGAAAUCUCGGAGCUUAACUCCGAAACUGCAUUCGAUACUGCCGUGCUUGAGGACUGGAGAGGAGACUGGAAUUUACGGUGUAGCGGUGAAAUGCGUAGAUAUCGUAAGGAAGACCAGUGCGAAGGCGGCUCACUGGCCCGAGACUGACGCGAGGCGCGAAAGCG